UACGUAGGUGGCGAGCGUUGUCCGGAUUUACUGGGCGUAAAGAGCGCGCAGGCGGUCGAUUUAGUCGUGUGUGAAAGCCCCCCGGCUCAACUGGGGAGGGUCACGCGAUACUGAUCGACUCGAAGGCAGGAGAGGGUAGUGGAAUUCCCGGUGUAGUGGUGAAAUGCGUAGAUAUCUGGAAGAACACCAGUGGCGAAGGCGGUCAACUGGCCCAUAACUGACGCUCAGGCACGAAAGCGUGGGUAGCGAACAGG
rnacentral:rRNA from 1 species